rnacentral:lncRNA from 1 species
AUAAACUGUGACUUAGUUUUGAGUGUUGUAAUCACUUGAUUUCAUUUUUUUCACUUGUAUUGUGGUUGUUCUUCUUUGGUUUUUUUCCAAUUGCAUAUUUCACUUCACACCACCAAUUACAAGUAACUCUUAAUUGAGGCCAUGUUGUAAUUGGAAUUGAGGAGUGAAUUUUACACUCACAUUUUAGUGCAUUGGCUAAGAGAUGGUACUUCUAAUGGCUAUGUGAGAAUGUGAAGUUGCUUGUUGUAAUUGAUUGUGCUUGGUUUUGUUGAAUGAGAAAUUUAAGUAGCUCUUCAUCAUUGGUAAGUAUUCUACAUCUCUUCCUUAUUAGUAGAAACAAAGCAUUUCUAUUUCUUACUUUACAAAAUAGUAAAAAUUUCAUUGUUGAAUUGAUUGUUGAUUUACUCUCUGAUUUUUCUCAAUCAGUUUUUAGUUGUUGCAUUCUUCAACUUAAACUUUUUGAAGUUGUGUAUCUUGAUGUGAAAUUUCUAAAAAGAUAUCAUACGUUUGAAUUGGACUAAAAUUGAAUUUUUAGUGUAUUUUUGAUUAGAAGGGGGUUUGCUGCCUUGGCAGUUUUGUGUACUUCAAGUUACUCUUAGGUUUUCAUCAAUCAGUUUUUAUGUGUUGCAUAUUUGAAAGUGAAACUUUUUGAGGUUGUGUAUCUUGAUGUUAGCUUAUCAAAAAGCUAUUGCAUGUUCAAAUUGGAAUCGAUACAAAUUUAUAGUGAGUUUUAGCACUAGAAAGGAGUUCAUUGCCUUCGUAGUUUCAUGUACCUCAUGUUUAGAAAGGCAUCUCUUAGUGCCUGGUUAUAAUUUAAUAUUAGAAAAUUCUGAAUAAAAGAACCUUAGAAUUGAGAUUUUAGUGGUGAAAAAUUUGGUGCUAUUGAAUCAAAAUUAAAAUUGUGGAGAAGAAUUGCUACCUUAAGUAGAAUAUAAUUGAGG